rnacentral:rRNA from 1 species
CCUACGGGAGGCAGCAGUAGGGAAUCUUCCACAAUGGACGAAAGUCUGAUGGAGCAACGCCGCGUGAAUGAAGAAGGCCUUCGGGUCGUAAAAUUCUGUUGUCAGAGAAGAACGUGCGUGAGAGUAACUGUUCACGUAUUGACGGUAUCUGACCAGAAAGUCCACGGCUAACUACGUGCC